UUGUUGUAUUUUUCUUUUACCAACAAAGCAUUCGCUACAUUGAAUGUGAGCUACAAAUCACAAACUGUUUCUAUAAAAAAAAACUCUAAAAAUUACAACAUACGCAUUAUUCUUAAUUUUAAUGGAUAUUUAUUAAGUUCACAACGAAGUUCUAUUCUUUCCAAGAAGCCAAGGAGCGCAACCGCUGAUAUCGGGCCACUAUAUCACAUAGCUGCUAUACAAAAUGACCGAUAAAAAUCAAGUCGUCGUAUGGAAAGCUUUUUUAUUUGACCAGAUAUAUUUACGAAAUUUGUCAUGAAUUUUUAUCCAAGUUAGCGCUACAAUCUCCGCACAAUUUGUACAGGUCGGACCUCUAUAGCUUAUAACUGCCAUACUAACUAACCGCUCAAUUCUAUUAUUUUACAUACAUUGCACUGUUAUAUCUCCACAAAAAUGUUUAUUGAAAAACGGUUUGAGGCAUUAUUUCGAGGUUGAACGAUUUUUAUGUGCAAUUGAUAACCGAAUGUAUGAGCAUAUACAGUUCGCGAAAGCCAAAUCCACGUAAACAAAAUGUUUGCAUACAAAACGAUCCCCAUUGGCGAAUAAAUUCAAAAAUAAAAAUGCAAAUGCUCGUGAAUGUUCGCAAGUUUUUGUUAAAUUAUACCAAACGCUUUGGAGAUAUUAAUUUAUUACCACAAGUAUUUGCACAAUAAAAUAUAGCAAAGCAAUUUUGUGAAUUUAAAAUUUGAAUUGAAAUAGAUUAUGGAUUUCUAUUGUAUUAUAUUAUGUUUAUGGUAUGUUUUCCACAAAAUCAACACCACCCUGAUAGACUGCAAUCUAUGUUCAGUAAUUAAAAAAAGUUUUAUAAAAUUGUUCUCUGCUGUAACAGAUCUCGGCUGAACAGAAUUGAAAAGCAAAUCAAUUAUGCUCCUACUAUUGUUACGUGAGCGGUACAAUAGACCUAUAGUUAUUUGAAAUUUCUGCUCAAUAAACUUAGUGCUCAAAAUUCUUUCAAUCGCCAAAUAUACCUACAUUUAUAAUCGAAAAGUUAGACCUUUAGUUCGAUGCAACAACUUGUAAGAAUUUCAAAAUCACAAUUUUUAUUCAAAGACAAUUUGAUAUGUAUACUACAAUAGAAGACCCUGGCCUCGGCUUGCUGUGGCUAAGAUAUAAUUAAAUUAUUGUAUAUUUGAGUAAGCUGUUUAAUAUAGUAAAAAUAUUAUUAUCGAAAUUAA